AAAGUUUUUUAUGCUGUCCUCGACUCGACAUAAAGAAACAUGCAGUGGAUAUUUUUCUCACUUUUCAUUUUUGUUCUGUUGAGCCAGUCGCUUGCUCUAUGGAGAGAGAUUGAAAUCGCACCUCCCUCGCCGAAGAUGGAAGUACGAGAGGCUAUCAACUUUGGUGGUUCAAAACGAGUCAGCAUAAAGUUCAAGCAAUGAAUUCAUGACCUCUCUUGCGUUACAUUGUAUCCCCAUUGCAUUAAAAUAGAUAUCACUCAAA